UAGAGGAGGGAGAAGGGACUGACUGACCGCGUCAGUCCCUUCUCCCUCCUCUA
rnacentral:miRNA from 1 species